GUUUGAGUAAUGAUGAACUCUAUUUAGGACUAGAGUUUUCGAUGCUGCUACUUUGUUGGUGGUAGUUGAAGACAUGCCCUUGGCUGUCUGAACUCAAUC
rfam:Zea mays cultivar B73 chromosome 2, whole genome shotgun sequence.